rnacentral:rRNA from 1 species
UACGUAGGGUGCAAGCGUUAAUCGGAAUUACUGGGCGUAAAGCGUGCGCAGGCGGUUUGUAAGUUUGUCGUGAAAGCCCCGGGCUCAACCUGGGAAUUGCGAUGAAGACUGCAAGGCUUGAAUCUGGCAGAGGGGGGUAGAAUUCCACGUGUAGCAGUGAAAUGCGUAGAGAUGUGGAGGAACACCGAUGGCGAAGGCAGCCCCCUGGGUCAAGAUUGACGCUCAUGCACGAAAGCGUGGGGGAGCAAACAGG